UUGGUCCCCACGGUGACACGAGUCCCCAUGUUGUUGCCUAAUGGUUAGAGAGUCAGACUCGUGACCAGAAGGUUGCCGGUUCGAGUCCCAUGGCCGGCGGGUAACAACUGAGGAGCCCUUGAGCAAGGCACCUGACCUACACUUGCUCCCCGGGCGCUGCAGUGAUAGCUGCCCACUGCUCCGGGGGUACGUGUGUUCACCACUUGCUGUGCGUGUGUUCACUACUCUCUGGAUGGGUUAAAUGCAGAGGUCACAUUUCGUUGCCUUGUACUUGUACAUGUGCAAUGACAAUAAAGUUGAAUCUAAUCUAAUGUGUUGGUGUGUAUUCAGGUUUAGGUCCCCACCGGGAUAUACAAACAUGAACCUGUGCGUGUGUGUGUGUGUAGAACGGACAGUCGUGGAGAGAGAUGAUGAGAUGGAGUCAGCACACUGAACCUGGAUCAGGAGAACGAAACAAAGUGGCACUGAAUGAACUCGGCAGCAUCAAGACUGUGACUCCCAACGCUCCUCCAGCUUUUGAGAAGAUCUUGUCUGGACCGUCACCUCCACCUUAUUCCCCCUGAAGAAAACCAGCAGAAUGUUUAAAUACUGCAGCUCAGCACCUCUCUCAUCUUCUUCUGUUCCUCACUAAAGAUAAUGGACCAUAAAGACGUCUCUACAACAUACAGAAUGUAAAUCCACUUUAGUUAUAUAAUCACAUAACCAUUUUAAACAAUAAGAAUUAGCACCUAGCGAAACAUUUGAAGAGUUUGGUUCCAAAAUGAGAUAACUGCAGUUGGUUUGUUUAGAUUUAAGCUAUAAUAACUCUAAAAUACAGCUAACGAACACAAUCAAAACACGAGAACAUAAUAAAAAACAUGAUUUUGGAAAAGUCAUCUCAUUUUGGAACCAAUUUGUUCAUUUGUAGUUUUGUAGCCGAUUUCUGCACACAGUAUUUGAACAAACGCUUCUUGCUUUGAACAUUACAGACGAGAAUGACCUAAAUAACAUUCUUCAUGUUUGAAUAAGUUUUUACAAACAGAUGCUGAAUGACUUGUGCUUUACACAGGUGCAGUUUCACUGUUGUAUAAACGCUUUAUUGCAUGAGAAUAAAAACAUUACAGCACAAAA